rnacentral:tRNA from 1 species
UGAAACCAGGCUCAGUGGUAGAGUGCCUGCCCAGCAUGCACGAGGCACUGGGUUCAAACCCCAGUACUCAA